UACGUAGGUGGCAAGCGUUAUCCGGAAUUACUGGGCGUAAAGCGUGCGCAGGCGGUUGGGCAAGACAGAUGUGAAAUCCCCGGGCUUAACCUGGGAAUUGCAUUUGUGACUGCACGGCUAGAGUGUGUCAGAGGGGGGUAGAAUUCCACGUGUAGCAGUGAAAUGCGUAGAUAUGUGGAGGAAUACCGAUGGCGAAGGCAGCCCCCUGGGAUAACACUGACGCUCAUGCACGAAAGCGUGGGGAGCAAACAGG
rnacentral:rRNA from 1 species